AUGGAUUUAGCUACAGCCCGCAGAGGUCAGCAGCAGUGGGCUGGCCAUCGGGAUGGCUUGAACGGGGCAGGAGCAGUAGGAUCGAGCGGGGAGGCCAGCAGCGACAAUUGGAGGAGUCAGCGUCUGGGCGCAGCGCAGCGCCGCCGCCGCCGCCGCCUCCGCGAACACAGGAGGAGCGGGGAUCGUGAUUUGUCUAGGAUAUUUACCGGGCCCAGGCAAGAUGGACGAAAUUCAGCCGAAAAUCAAAACACAGGUCCGUUCUUGCGCGGAGAUUCGCGCUGGUCUUGUUGUCGGGUCCGUGUGCCUUUCCUCCCUUUUCAUUUCGUCCUCUCUGUUUGGAUAAGGUUGAGGGGGAGCUCGAGCGGCGGAGCAGGAGGCGAUUCUCACUGUCCAUGGCGAUUUCGAGACCUUCCCCCACUCGAGCUUGAUUUCUCUCCACUUCCUCUUCGCUCCCCGGUGUCGCGGUUGGUUGUUCCUCUCUCUCUCUCCCCGUCGCGCGCUUGUGUUGUUCUGCUCUUGUUCGUCCCAGAUCUAGGUGCUCGUGUUCCUGUAGGCGCGAGGGAUUCUGUAGAUUUGUCUGUAGAUGUUCCUGUAGGUGCUCAUGUUCCUAUGUACUGGGAGAUGCCUAGCUCGUUCCUGCUCAUGUCGGGAUGCUCCCUGAUGCUUCUGCGUGUUUUCCUGCUCUUGCCCCUGCUCAUGUACUGGCUACGGAAAGUGUCUCAUCAGGAUGUUCCAUUAGUAUCAUCUUUAGAGAGUGCAGAUUCAGUGGAUGAAGCUUUCGUGCCUAAUGAUUUUGCAGAAGAUGGUUCUCAUCCCGUGUCUCCGGAUCUAUCUCGAGAUGAAGGAGAGUUCGACAAGGCUCUUUUGAAGUUCUAUCUCAAUCAGAAAAGGCAGAAACGAUCUACUGAUUUCCCCACUUGUGCCACUUUCACUAGAUAUUCUGGGAAGUUCUUCUCUGGUGUUGUUGCUGGAAUGUGUCCUAGGUAUCAGAAUGUCAUCCAGACAUACGGCAUGGGUUGUCUCUUAAACUUUGUUAGGACCGAGGUUCCCCUUAGGCUAGUGAAGUGGCUUGCUAGUAGGUUUGAUGUCCCUUCAUCUGAAUUCCAGUUCGAAAGGAAAUUUAUCCCAAUGGCCAAGUAUGACAUCCACGAUAUCCUUGACCUCCUAGUAGAUGGCGAACCACUUGUGUCUGAUCCUGAGUCUGGCCGUGAUUUUAUCCUGUCUCACUUCAAUGUUUCUAGUAUUCCUCCUGUCUCUUUCUUUGCCAACAAGCUUAAAUCCACCGAAGUCGAGUUGUCUGAUGAAGACAUUUUCAUUUGCUUCAUGAUUGUUGCGUUGUCCUCAUUCCUUUGUCCCAACUCUAGCCUCAGUCCUAUCCCGAAGUACCUGCAUAUUUUUAGGGAUUGUUCUUCUAUGUGCAACUAUGAUCUGUCCGGAUAUGUUUAUGAGUGGUUGUUGAGCAGCAUCAAAAAGUUCAAGAAUUCCACUAAAGUUGCUUCUAAAAGAUCAGUGACGUUUGGUGGUUGUCACUACGCUUUUGCUGUUUGUUACCUUGACCAACUUAAUUUCGGUCUCCAUUCUGUCCAUGAUGUCAAGCCCCGGAUUCUAGCAUGGAGAGGUAACAAAGUUAAGCAAUUUUCAGAGCUUGACAGAAACAAUAGCCGCUCUUAUGGCAAGAGGUCUCUAAAGCGGUUGUGUGCUCCAGUUAAUCCACAGUCUAUCGAGAAAUCUUCAGCAAGCAAAGAUGGUGAUGUUCCCCUUUGCAGUGACAUGCUUUUUGAAAUGAAUGUGCAGAAAUCCUUCGGUGCUCGUUUUGGGUUUGAGGCUGCUCAAGUAGUCAUAGACCUUGUUCAAUCUAGGAACAAAGACAAGCCCAAGCUAUUUGUAGAAUGGUCACAGUCCCUUGCGCCAAGUCUGUCUCUAUUCAAUCUUUCAUUGCUGAGAGGAAGUGGCUUGGUAAAUGAGGCAAAUGUUGAAGUUGCAAUUCCAGUGGCGGAUUUAUCUUCUAUAAAAAGUCCUUCUCAUUCUAUAGGUAUAUCCCCUUCAACGACGUGGUGUGCAAUUCCUGUUGUUGGUUCUACUUUGAAGCCCUCAGGUCCUUUGUGUGUUUAUUUAUUUUUCUUGCUGGUCUUAUUAAGAAAUAGCGAACCCAAGGCCGAUGAUAAUGGUUUUCAAAGACCCACUUUUGCUCAGUUAAAUCGCACUCUUGGUGUUCAAUCUAAUGGCGAUGUUACCAAUGGUGAGCCCAAUGAUAAAGAGGUCGACAAUUCUUUUGGAGAACUGUCCCCUCUGCUAGGUGAUGUUGAGUGCUCUCAGUAUGUUGUUGAAAGAUUUAUGAAUUCACUGGAUCCCCGAAAUGAUGAGGAUUGCAUUGAAAUGGCCGGUUUGCCUAAUUCUGAAGUUUCCAAGUCAACUCACUGCUCAAGCCACCCUACUAAUGAAGUUAAAGAGCUACAAGACAACAUUCAAAUUGUAGGCACUUCUAGUUUUGCUGCUAGGUGUCAACAGCUUUCAAGAUCUAAUGAUGUUGCUUACAACAAGCUCAAGAACUUUACAGCACCUCAAUCAACUAGUUGUAAUCCUAGGAAGCAACAAGCUACUUCUAGCCCAGAAGUAGAGAUCUUGUCAUCCAGGAGUGCCCCUAGACCUCCUUCAGCUGCUCCUGUUCCUAAAGCUCAUGCACAAUCUUCCAUUGUUCCUAGUGGUUCAUCUCACGGUCAUGUACCUCGGAGGAUGGUUGUUCCUGGCAAAUAUACCUCAGAUCCAUAUGUUGCUCAGGGUAAUAAGUUUCCUGUUACUAAUCAAGAAAGGCGUCACCACCUUGCAAUGGUGGAAAUAGGAACGCAUGAAACUUGGUGCAAGUAUGAAGCAAUUCGAUAUGACCGAGCUUACUGUAGCUACCGAAAUCUUGCAACCUUGAAGUCCAAAGAAGAUGUGAAUAAUUUCUUGCUUCUGUGUGUCUAUCGUUAUCUUUUCAAACAAUCUCAUCCAUCAGCUUCAAAGAAGUACUUCUUUUUCUCUUACAUUGGGGAAACCAUUUUGAGUGGUGUUAAUGUUGAGAUUGUAGCUAAUGCAUUUCAUGGUGCAAAUAGUGCUUUUGCAAUGUGGAGAACUUUUUUUCCUAUUGCCCGGGAUCAGCACUGGUUUACUUUCCUUGUUUGCUUGAAGGAGAGGGCAUUCGCAUUUCUUGAUUCUGCUUAUGGGCCAAAGUCUCAUUUUCACAAGGAAGUUCGUGAUGCAAUGAUUGAAAAUUUCAUAAGCAUCUGGGAUCAGGUUGUGACUCCUGUCAUGCGCACUCGUAUCGACUUUGAAAAUUUUGAUAUUGUGUACCCUAGUGUACCUCAGCAAGAUAAUCGCCAUGAUUGUGGUGUUUUCUCUAUCAUGUAUCUGAAGUAUUGGACUCCCAGGACCCCAAUUGGAAAUAUGUUUGGUCCUGCUGAUAUCGACAACAUAAGAAUCAGAUUGGCUAAGGAGUUGUAUUUCAGUACAUUCAACAGCAUUGACAAGACUUUUGUUACAGACUUCUUUGGUGAUAUUGUAAUACUACUUUUGCGACCAUCUUUGUUGUUGAUGGUUUGGUGUUUUCCGUUGGUUUUUGAAUGUUCUCUGAAGUCAAGUGAAGGUGCAAUAUUUGUUUCCUGGCAGGUUUCAAUAUCUGCAACUACAAUCAUCUCUUCGUCCUGUAAUGUAAAAUAA
rnacentral:rRNA from 1 species